rnacentral:rRNA from 1 species
GGGGAAUUUUGGACAAUGGGCGCAAGCCUGAUCCAGCCAUUCCGCGUGCAGGAUGAAGGCCCUCGGGUUGUAAACUGCUUUUGUACAGAACGAAAAGGUUUCUACUAAUACUAGGAGCUCAUGACGGUACUGUAAGAAUAAGCACCGGCUAACUACGUGCCAGCAGCCGCGGUAAUACGUAGGGUGCAAGCGUUAAUCGGAAUUACUGGGCGUAAAGCGUGCGCAGGCGGUUAUAUAAGUCAGAUGUGAAAUCCCCGGGCUCAACCUGGGAACUGCAUUUGAGACUGUAUAGCUAGAGUACGGCAGAGGGGGAUGGAAUUCCGCGUGUAGCAGUGAAAUGCGUAGAUAUGCGGAGGAACACCGAUGGCGAAGGCAAUCCCCUGGGCCUGUACUGACGCUCAUGCACGAAAGCGUGGGGAGCAAAC